UAUGCUUUUUCCUUCAUCUUAUUCUUAUUCUUUCCAUUCCUUUUCCCUAGAAGUAGCUCCUCCUUCCAGGGCCAUCAUGGGCCUCGUCAAACGGAAGCUCUUCCGUCAUUCUUCCUUUUCCUCGAAUCAAAUCAUUUUUUGUUCCUUGUCAAUUACUAGUUAAUUAAUUAGAUUGGAGAACAAUCAAAUGGAGUGGGAGAACUGAGGGCGAUCUUCGAUCUCGGCAUCGUUGGCACCGUUUUCGGUGCUGGCUUGUGGUUUUGGGUCGAUGUCCUCGUAUGCAGCUCUAUCAAUGUCUCUUUUGCCCACUAUUUACUCUGAAUAUUUGCUUCAAUCGCGGCUUUGAUGCUUAAUUGCGUUAGAAAAGAGGAUAUUGAUUACUCUCCUUACGAUGAAAGCAAGUGGAGGUUGAUGUCACAAUUUCCACGGUUCGAUGUCGUGACCUUGAAGACAGUAAGCAAACUUCACAGCUCCAAGACCAAAUUGAAAAGUUUUAGAAACAUUACAGAGUCAACGCCGCGACAUCAAAUAGGGGAUGUCACGAUGAGAAUGGCUAGCAUCGCGACAUCCAAGGGGUAGAGGCGAGACUUCCUCGGUACAAUACUAUACUUCCAAUUUCCAUUUAUUUUCAACCUAACACAUGACAACAAUAGUUGGUGUUAAGACCUUAAUUAACCAUCCAACACAUUUAACAAGUUCUAUAUACAAAAAUAAGACAACAAAACCAAUUUCAUGCUUGA